GCCGAGCAUCCUACGGGAGGCAGCAUGGGGAAUAUUGCACAAUGGGCGCAAGCCUGAUGCAGCCAUGCCGCGUGUAUGAAGAAGGCCUUCGGGUUGUAAAGUACUUUCAGCAGUGAGGAAGGUGGAUAUGUUAAUAGCAUAUUCAUUUGACGUUUAGCUGCAGAAGAAGCACCGGCUAACUCCGUGCCAGCAGCCGCGGUAAUACGGAGGGUGCGAGCGUUAAUCGGAAUUACUGGGCGUAAAGCGCAUGCAGGUGGUUGUUAAGUCAGAUGUGAAAGCCCGGGGCUCAACCUCGGAAUUGCAUUUGAAACUGGCAAACUAGAGUACUGUAGAGGGGGUAGGAAUUUCAGGUGUAGCGGUGAAAUGCGUAGAGAUCUGAAGGAAUACCGGUGGCGAAGGCGGCCCCCUGGACAGAUACUGACACUCAGAUGCGAAAGCGUGGGGAGCAAACAGGAUUAGAUACCCUGGUAG
rnacentral:rRNA from 1 species